rnacentral:rRNA from 1 species
UACGGGGGGGGGCAAGCGUUGUUCGGAAUUACUGGGCGUAAAGGGCUCGUAGGCGGCCAACUAAGUCAGACGUGAAAUCCCUCGGCUUAACCUGGGAACUGCAUUGGUGACUGCAUUGCUAGAGUAUGGCAGAGGGGGUGGAAUUCCACGUGUAGCAGUGAAAUGCGUAGAGAUGUGGAGGAACACCGAUGGCGAAGGCAGCCCCCUGGGCCAAUACUGACGCUCAUGCACGAAAGCGUGGGGGAGCAAACAGG